CGGACGGGUGAGUAAUGUCUGGGAAACUGCCUGAUGGAGGGGGAUAACUACUAGAAACGGUAGCUAAUACCGCAUAACGUCGCAAGACCAAAGAGGGGGACCUUAGGGCCCCUUGCCAUCGGAUGUGCCCAGAUGGGAUUAGCUAGUAGGUGGGGUAACGGCUCACCUAGGCGACGAUCCCUAGCUGGUCUGAGAGGAUGACCAGCCACACUGGAACUGAGACACGGUCCAG
rnacentral:rRNA from 1 species